GCCAGCAUGGUGUAGUGGUUUGCAUGUCAGACUACAGCUCUAGAGAUCAGGGUUCAAAUCCCCACUUGAGUA